rnacentral:rRNA from 1 species
CGCGUGAGUGAAGAAGGCCUUUGGGUUGUAAAGCUCUUUCGUCGGGGAAGAAAAUGACUGUACCCGAAUAAGAAGGUCCGGCUAACUUCGUGCCAGCAGCCGCGGUAAUACGAAGGGACCUAGCGUAGUUCGGAAUUACUGGGCUUAAAGAGCUCGUAGGUGGUUAAAAAAGUUGGUGGUGAAAUCCCAAAGCUUAACUCUGGAACUGCCAUCAAAACUUUUUAACUAGAGUAUGAUAGAGGAAAGUGGAAUUUCUAGUGUAGAGGUGAAAUUCGUAGAUAUUAGAAAGAACACCAAUUGCGAAGGCAGCUUUCUGGAUCAUUACUGACACUGAGGAGCGAAAGCAUGGGUAGCGAAGAGGAUUAGAUACCCUCGUAGUCCAUGCCGUAAACGAUGUGUGCUAGACGUUGGAAAUUUAUUU